AUACGGAGGGUGCAAGCGUUAUUCGGAAUCACUGGGCGUAAAGGACGCGUAGGCGGGUUGGCAAGUCAGAUGUGAAAUCCUACAGCUUAACUGUAGAACUGCAUUCGAAACUGCUAACCUAGAGUAUGGGAGGGGGAGAUGGAAUUAGUGGUGUAGGGGUAAAAUCCGUAGAUAUCACUAGGAAUACCGAAAGCGAAGGCGAUCUCCUGGAACAUAACUGACGCUAAGGCGUGAAAGCGUGGGGAGCAAACAGGAUUAGAAACCCUAGUAGUCC
rnacentral:rRNA from 1 species